UGGAGCCAUUGUUAUUGGGGCUUCUAAAACAGUUCAUGGACCACCUCUCCAAUUGAAAACAUAAAAUAUUAAGGAUGGUUAAUCAAGAUUAAUAGCUUAUGUAGAAAAAGAUGGUCGCAGUCUCGCAGAAUGCAUAUCAGUGAUGAAAAAACAAUCUGAAUCUUGUAUCAUCUGUAAAAUCCUACUGCUCAGGGUGAAAUAAUUCUAUUAAAUUAUGAGAACACCAAAA
rnacentral:misc_RNA from 1 species